GGGCCCGUAGCUCAGUUCGGUUAGAGCGACCAACCUUAGCGACCGGCUCAUAACCGGUCGGUCGAGCGUUCAAAUCGCUCCGGGCCCA
rnacentral:tRNA from 1 species